rnacentral:rRNA from 1 species
UACGUAGGGACCGAGCGUUGUCCGGAAUCAUUGGCGUAAAGAGCGUGUGAGGUCGGCCACUUAAGUCCUGCGUGAAAUCUUGCGGCUCAACCGCAAGCGGUCGUGGGAAACUGGGUGGCUAGAGUGCGGGAGAGGAGAGUGGAAUUCCUGGUGUAGCGGUGGAAUGCGCAGAUAUCAGGAAGAACACCCGUGGCGAAGGCGGCUCUCUGGAACGCAACUGACGCUGAGACGCGAAAGCGUGGGGAGCAAACAGG